GCUACCGCCGGGGAGGCGGCGGGCGCGCUUCCGUCUCGCCGGCGGCGGGAUGGCUUCCACCAGCGGGAGGCCGUGGGACCCGACCGUCUCCCUCCGGCUCGGCCACCCGGCGCUCGUCAUCCUCGAGCGGUGCGGCGGCGGCGCAAGGCCGUUCAGGGCCAUCCUCGCCCACAUGCUCCGCCUCCGCCUCGCCUUCGAGACGUUCCCCAUGAGCAGGCUCCUCCACUUCGCCACCGUCUCCUUCCCGCAGUACGCGCGCGUGGCCGAUCUCCUCUUCGAGCACUUCACGCCUCGCCCCAACCUCUACAUCUACAACCUGAUGCUCUCUGCGGCGGCGGCGGCGUCCUCCUCCUCGCCGGGCCGACCGGCUGCUCUGUACAGGUCGAUGCUGGCGUCAUCCAUUUCGCCCGAUGAGCAAACCUUCCUGUCGCUGCUCAAGUCGGUGGACGGGGAGAGCCGCUCCGUCGGGAAGCAGGUGCACGCCCACGUCGUGGUGAAUGGCUUGCAUUCGCGUGUUUACCUGCGCAACUCGCUGAUCAAGAUGUACCUUGACGCCGGCAAUGUGGAGGCGGCGGAGGCGAUGUUCCGGUGUGCGCCGACGGCGGACACGGUGUGCUGCAACAUCAUGCUGUCCGGGUACGUCAAGGGAGGAUGCAGCGGGAAGGCGCUGCGGUUUUUCCAUGGCAUGGCGUCGAAGGGGGUUGGUGUUGAUCAGUACACGGCUGUUGCUCUCCUCGCUUGCUGCGGACGCCUGAAGAAGGCGCUUCUUGGUAGGUCUGUCCAUGGCGUCGUCGUGCGCAGGAUUGAUGUUGCCGAUAGGGGAUUGAUUUUGAGUAAUGCUCUCCUGGAUAUGUAUGCAAAAUGCGGAGAAAUGAACAAGGCCAUGAGAGUGUUCGGUGAGGCUGGUGAAAAAGAUGGCAUCUCGUGGAACACCAUGGUUGCAGGAUUUGCUAAUGCUGGCAUGUUGGACCUUGCUAGCGAAUAUUUCGCCGAGUCGCCUGCCAGGGAUAUAAUAUCCUGGAAUGCUCUUCUGGCUGGAUAUGCCCGAUACAAAGAAUUCACUGCAACGAUGAAGUUAUUUGAUGAUAUGCUGGUUAGUUGUGUAAGACCUGAUAAGGUGACUGCUGUUACUUUGAUUUCUGCAGUUGCAGGCAAGGGAACACCAAAUUUGGGAAAGAGUAUCCAUGGUUGGGUGGUUAAAGAGCAUGGAACUCAGGAUGCUUUCUUGGCAUCUGCUCUUGUUGAUAUGUACUGCAAAUGUGGAAAUGUCAAGCUAGCCCAUGCUGUAUUUGAGAAGGCCAUGGACAAAGAUGUUACCUUGUGGACGGCUAUGAUAUCUGGCCUUGCAUUCCAUGGCCAUGGAGGCAUUGCAUUGGAUCUAUUUUGGAAGAUGCAAGCAGAGGGUAUAGAGCCUAAUGGCGUAACAUUGGUUUCUGUUCUCAGUGCUUGUAGUCAUGCUGGCCUUUUAGAUGAAGGGUUAAAGAUUUUUGAUUCCUUGAAGCAAAGGUUCAACAUUGAACCUGGAAUAGAACACUUUGGCUGUAUGGUUGAUCUCCUUGCACGAUCAGGUAGGCUAUUUGAUGCAGUAGAUUUAGCUAGGAGGAUGCCAAUGAAGCCAAGUCGGUCCAUAUGGGGUUCCAUUUUGAGUGCGAGUUCAGCUUGUCAAAAUACUGAAGUUGCAGAAAUUGCAUCGAAGGAACUACUCUGUCUUGAACCUGCAGAGGAAGGUGCAUAUGUUUUGCUUUCCAACCUGUAUGCUGCUGAAGGUAACUGGAACUGCAGCAAUGAAGUAAGGGAGAGUAUGGUAAGGAAAGGAGUGAGAAAAUCAGCAGGUGCUAGUACGUUUGGCUGUUGAUGCCAGUGCUUCAUAUGCUAGGGAAUGCUCCAGACUCAUUAAGAAGAAACCUGCACUUGUAUCAGGUACAGUUUCAUGAACCUGGACAAGAUUGGGGGUGACAAUGACCGCUGACAAUACCACAUUCUUAUCAAGCUACAAUCAGCAAGAUUACUAGUCCCACUGCAGCAAUGGAAUAAUGUGGUAAUUGUGCAAGUGAUUUUCAUCAUCAGAUUUCAGGUGUCAUGCUGUCUCAGAGGUUGGCAUUUGGAGGCCUGCAACGGGCGGUCCAGUCGGUUGGAGUAUAUGGCAUUGACUCUCGGUGGAUCCUUGCAGCUGGAAAAACGGAUGUCCAGUACACCAUAUAAUGGGACACUGCCACUGGACAUGUAGUAGCAAGAGUCAUACAGAUGCUGUUCUAGAAACCUGACAUUGCUUCAAAGGUGCCGCCAACUUCAAAGGUUACCAGCAAUUGUUUUACUGCUGAAAGCCUGAAAGAUAGUGCCUGAGUGGUGAGUGUUGUACUACCACAAAGCAAAACGAUACGAGUUCACCUGUAUUGAUGAGGACAGGGUUGUGAUCAACUACUAUCCAUAUAAUCGUAUUCGAUGAUGAGCUUGGUACGAAUACGAUGACCCGAUUUAUAGUUGUAUACAUAAAUACAUAAUGCAUGCACAUAGUAUGUUAUUGUGACUAUUCAAAGGACAUGCCAUUAGAUUGCUACAUGGAUAUUGCAAAUGCAUGGGUCAAAGAUUUUGGCGAGAAACUUAUAAGUUUGGCACAAAU